UACAGAGGUCCCAAGCGUUGUUCGGAUUCACUGGGCGUAAAGGGUGCGUAGGUGGCAGGGUAAGUUUGAUGUGAAAUCUCCGGGCUUAACCCGGAAACUGCAUUGAAUACUAUCCUGCUCGAGGUUUGGAGGGGGGACUGGAAUUCUCGGUGUAGCGGUGAAAUGCGUAGAUAUCGAGAGGAACACCAGUGGCGAAGGCGAGUCCCUGGACAACACCUGACACUGAGGCACGAAAGCUAGGGGAGCAAACAGG
rnacentral:rRNA from 1 species